UACGUAGGGCGCAAGCGUUAUCCGGAAUUAUUGGGCGUAAAGAGCUCGUAGGCGGUUUGUCGCGUCUGCUGUGAAAGACCGGGGCUCAACUCCGGUUCUGCAGUGGGUACGGGCAGACUAGAGUGCAGUAGGGGAGACUGGAAUUCCUGGUGUAGCGGUGAAAUGCGCAGAUAUCAGGAGGAACACCGAUGGCGAAGGCAGGUCUCUGGGCUGUAACUGACGCUGAGGAGCGAAAGCGUGGGGAGCAAACAGG
rnacentral:rRNA from 1 species